rnacentral:rRNA from 1 species
UACGAAGGGUGCUAGCGUUGUUCGGAAUUACUGGGCGUAAAGCGCGCGUAGGCGGCUUCUCAAGUCAGGGGUGAAAUCCUGGGGCUCAACCCUAGAAUUGCCUUUGAAACUGUGAAGCUGGAGUGUCGGAGGGGAUAGCGGAAUUCCUAAUGUAGAGGUGAAAUUCGUAGAUAUUAGGAGGAACACCGGUGGCGAAGGCGGCUAUCUGGACGACAACUGACGCUGAGGCGCAAAAGCGUGGGGAUCAAACAGG